GCCCUCUCUCUUAUUCAACGCCAAUCUCCACUUAUUUUGUGUGACAAAAGUCCUCUCCCAGGUCUCUCCCACAUUCACAAAAGGUUUCCUCUCUUCUUUCUUACAUGGAAGGUGGUUUGGAUCAAAUCAAAAAGGAAUAAGUUUGGAUUUCGAAUUCUAUGAGAUAGAGUUUUAGAAAUCCAAAACUCUUUCAAUUUUGCACCAAAUUUAUCCAAAUUUUUUUUGAAAUUUUUAUAGAU
rnacentral:lncRNA from 1 species